rnacentral:ribozyme from 11 species
AAAAAGUACCAUCUGCAAAGACUCAUGGAAAAAAAAGGGAAACAACCUCAGUGAUACUGAGAAAGGAGAGGUUUUCUUUUUCUUUUUCCUUUUCUUUUGUUUUCUUUCCCUUCCCUUC